rnacentral:rRNA from 1 species
UACGUAGGGUGCGAGCGUUGUCCGGAAUUAUUGGGCGUAAAGCGCUUGUAGGCGGUUUGUCGCGUCUGCUGUGAAAAUCCGGGGCUCAACCCCGGACUUGCAGUGGGUACGGGCAGACUAGAGUGUGGUAGGGGAGACUGGAAUUCCUGGUGUAGCGGUGGAAUGCGCAGAUAUCAGGAGGAACACCGAUGGCGAAGGCAGGUCUCUGGGCCACUACUGACGCUGAGAAGCGAAAGCAUGGGGAGCGAACAGG